CACUCCUGCGGGAGGCAGCAGUGGGGAAUUUUGGACAAUGGGCGAAAGCCUGAUCCAGCAAUGCCGCGUGCAGGAUGAAGGCCUUCGGGUUGUAAACUGCUUUUGUACGGAACGAAAAAGCUCCUUCUAAUACAGGGGGCCCAUGACGGUACCGUAAGAAUAAGCACCGGCUAACUACGUGCCAGCAGCCGCGGUAAUACGUAGGGUGCGAGCGUUAAUCGGAAUUACUGGGCGUAAAGCGUGCGCAGGCGGUUAUGUAAGACAGAUGUGAAAUCCCCGGGCUCAACCUGGGAACUGCAUUUGUGACUGCAUGGCUAGAGUACGGUAGAGGGGGAUGGAAUUCCGCGUGUAGCAGUGAAAUGCGUAGAUAUGCGGAGGAACACCGAUGGCGAAGGCAAUCCCCUGGACCUGUACUGACGCUCAUGCACGAAAGCGUGGGGAGCAAACAGGAUUAGAUACCCCGGUAGUCCCA
rnacentral:rRNA from 1 species